UGCAAUUCAACUACACCAACAGGCAUCGGGGUAGCCCUACCCUAAACCCUGCUACCUGGCUAAGACUAAAACCAGCAAGCCUGCAAUCACCUGUAGGUGGGCUGUAUCAUAUCAUUCACUAGUUCAAUGUUAAGCCAACAAUUGGUCAGCUAACAAAAAUUGUAAAUCUUGUAUUCGAACAAAUGCCCUCAUUCUGGCAAAUACGACACUGUCCCCAAAUAAUACCAACAACAUAUGACUGAGUCAAUUACCAUAAUAUUCUGGUUUUGGUUGAUUACUACAAAUCACAUGUACAAAGCUACAUUACGAAAAGUAUAUCAUUUCACAGAUGUCUUACUUAUCACAUAUAAAGAAUUUAGCUACUGUAUCAAACUCGUGGGGGGGAAAAGACGCUAAAUUAUUUUCCAUAAUUUGACGCACCACAAACCAAAUUGAAGAUAUCAAAAUGAUCUAGAACAGGAAAUGACAUCAUAAUACCUAAACCAAAACAACAAGACCUUCAAAAAUUAUAACAACAUAGAAAUGCUAUUAUAAAUGGGUAGCAAAAUUCAGAUUCAAAAACAGAAAGAGAGAGAGAGAGAGAGAGAGAGGGUAUGGACCACAUGACGAAGAGAUGCGUUGAGUACGUGAGCUUGCUCGUCUUCGUAAUGCGCUCUGGGUUUUGUUCCUCUCGAGGAUCAGCUCUCGUAGCCACGAGCCUUUUCUUCUUCCGUCGACCCUGAUGAUGUUGCUGAUGACGAAGAGGCGGUGAAUGGAUUGUUAGGGUUUUGAUUCGGCAAAGAAUCGGUGGUUGUGGUAGUGGAAAAAUAAGGAGAACUUUUAAAUAAUGCUAGGGUUGGGUUUAUGGAUGGGGUUGUUCGGCCGAAUUGGGAACGGGCGUUCCGGUAGAUGGCCGGAGAUUGAUUUAGGGUCAAAUUCAAAUAUUUUUCAGCAGCGGCC
rnacentral:lncRNA from 1 species